rnacentral:misc_RNA from 1 species
AAGUCGUAACAAGGUUUCCGUAGGUGAACCUGCGGAAGGAUCAUUAACGAGUUCUGAAAGGGGUUGUAGCUGGCCUUCCGGGGCAUGUGCACACCCUGCUCAUCCACUCUACACCUGUGCACUUACUGUAGGUUUGGCGUGGGCUUCGGGGCCUCCGGGUCUUUGAGGCAUUCUGCCGGCCUAUGUAUCACUACAAACACAUAAAGUAACAGAAUGUAUUAGCGUCUAACGCAUCUAAAUACAACUUUCAGCAACGGAUCUCUUGGCUCUC